rnacentral:rRNA from 1 species
CAGUCGCCACGGUAAUACGUAGGGUGCAAGCGUUAAUCGGAAUUACUGGGCGUAAAGCGUGCGCAGGCGGUUUGUUAAGACAGAUGUGAAAUCCCUGGGCUCAACCUGGGAACUGCAUUUGUGACUGGCAAGCUAGAGUAUAGCAGAGGGGGGUGGAAUUCCGCGUGUAGCAGUGAAAUGCGUAGAUAUGCGGAGGAACACCGAUGGCGAAGGCAGCCCCCUGGGCCAAUACUGACGCUCAUGCACGAAAGCGUGGGGAGCAAACAGGAUUAGAUACCCGAGUAGUCCCUGUCUCUUAUAC